rnacentral:rRNA from 1 species
GACGAACGCUGGCGGCGUGCCUAAUACAUGCAAGUCGAACGCUUCUUUCCUCCCGAGUGCUUGCACUCAAUUGGAAAGAGGAGUGGCGGACGGGUGAGUAACACGUGUGUAACCUACCCAUCAGAGGGGGAUAACACUUGGAAACAGGUGCUAAUACCGCAUAACAGUUUAUGCCGCAUGGCAUAAGAGUGAAAGGCGCUUUCGGGUGUCGUUGAUGGAUGGUCCCGCGGUGCAUUAGCUAGUUGGUGAGGUAACGGCUCACCAAGGCCACGAUGCAUAGCCGACCUGAGAGGGGGAUCGGCCACACUGGGACUGAGACACGGCCCAGACUCCUACGGGAGGCAGCAGUAGGGAAUGUUCGGCAAUGGACGAAAGUCUGACCGAGCAACGCCGCGUGAGUGAAGAAGGUUUUCGGAUCGUAAAACUCUGUUGUUAGAGAAGAACAAGGACGUUAGUAACGGAACGUCCCCUGACGGUAUCUAACCAGAAAGCCACGGCUAACUACGU